rnacentral:rRNA from 1 species
CAGUCGCCGCGGUAAUACGUAGGUGGCAAGCGUUGUCCGGAAUUAUUGGGCGUAAAGGGCUCGCAAGCGGUUUCUUAAGUCUGAUGUGAAAGCCCCCGGCUCAACCGGGGAGGGUCAUUGGAAACUGGGAAACUUGAGUGCAGAAGAGGAGAGUGGAAUUCCACGUGUAGCGGUGAAAUGCGUAGAGAUGUGGAGGAACACCAGUGGCGAAGGCGACUCUCUGGUCUGUAACUGACGCUGAGGAGCGAAAGCGUGGGGAGCGAACAGGAUUAGAUACCCCUGUAGUCCCUGUCUCUUAUAC